rnacentral:lncRNA from 10 species
UUUUUUUUUUUUUUUUUUGAGGCAGGGUCUCUGUUGUCCAGGCUGGAGUGCAGUGGUGCAUUCUUGGCUCACUGCGACCUCUGCCUCCCAGGCUCAUCCUUCCACCUCAGCCUCCUGAGUAGCUGGGACUACAGGUGUGUGCCACCUUGCCCAGCUAAUUAAAAAGAUUUUUUUUUUUUUUUUUUUGUAGAGAUGAGGUUUUGCCAUGUUACCCAGGCUGGUCUUCAACUCCUGGACUCAAGCGAUCCACCUGCCUCGGCCUCCUAAAGUGCUGGGAUUUCAGGUGUGAGCCACUGUGCCCAGCCCGAAGAAGCUUUAUCUGAUCUGAACCUGAUUUAGAUAAGGAGGUCCUGGACUUUGUUCCAAUGCUGCAGAGAGUGAGACUUCUGUGGGGAGAGGAGUGUCCUUUGCAUUUGGGAAAGAUGUGAACUACUGUGGCCAGAGGGUGAACUAUGGUAGAUUGCUUCUAAAGAUGGGAGCAGCAAUGUUUCUUCCCAAGCAACAUUCUCCUUUGAAAUGUGACUUUGCCACCCAUCGCAUCAAGAGGGUCUUAGAUACAUGAUGGCACUGUUGGCUUCCUGAAGACCUCUUCAUCCUGCAGAAGGUGCAACUCCACAGCAUCCUGAGAGGUUGGACACAAGGCUUGGAAAGAAUGAAUGGUGCCUCUCGGUGAAUUACUACAACCUGAAUCCUGUGACCCCACCUGUGAUGGCCCAAUGUUAUUGAAAUUACUGACUCCAUCCACUUAGCAAGUGGUAAAUACUCUGCAGGCAUAGAUUUGACUAAUGUGUUCUGUUCAGCGCCUAUUUCAACAGAUCUCAGCUGCAGGUUGCUUUCACCCCCGAAGGGACACAAUAGACCGUUAUCUGGCUACCACGGGGUACCUCGACAGUUCUGCCACCAUACACAAUCUUUGCAGGCAGGAUUUGAACUGCAUCUGAC